GUAGUUCGGUGGUAGAGCAUCUGUCUUAUGCGCAGAAGGUCUCGGGUUCAAUCCCCAACAUCUCCA